GGCAGAGGGGGCAAGCGUUGCUCGGAAUCACUGGGCGUAAAGGGCGCGUAGGCGGGAUGGCAAGUCGGUCGUGAAAUCCUUCGGCUCAACCGAAGAACGUCGGCCGAUACUGCCGUUCUUGAGGGAUGCAGAGGAGAUUGGAAUUCCCGGUGUAGCGGUGAAAUGCGCAGAUAUCAGGAGGAACACCGGUGGCGAAGGCGGGUCUCUGGGCCGUAACUGACGCUGAGGAGCGAAAGCCAGGGGAGCGAACGGG
rnacentral:rRNA from 1 species